rnacentral:rRNA from 1 species
AACGAACGCUGGCGGCAUGCCUAACACAUGCAAGUCGAACGAGACCUUCGGGUCUAGUGGCGCACGGGUGCGUAACGCGUGGGAACCUGCCCUUAGGUUCGGAAUAACUCCCCGAAAGGGGUGCUAAUACCGGAUAAUGUCUUCGGACCAAAGAUUUAUCGCCUUUGGAUGGGCCCGCGUUGGAUUAGCUAGUUGGUAGGGUAAAAGCCUACCAAGGCGACGAUCCAUAGCUGGUCUGAGAGGAUGAUCCGCCACACUGGGACUGAGACACGGCCCAGACUCCUACGGGAGGCAGCAGUGGGGAAUAUUGGACAAUGGGCCAAAACCUGAUCCAGCCAUGCCGCGUGAGUGAUGAAGGCCUUAGGGUUGUAAAGCUCUUUUACCCGGGAUGAUAAUGACAGUACCGGGAGAAUAAGCUCCGGCUAACUCCGUG